AUUUGGGCACGCGAUGUGUAGGAUAGGUCGGAGGCAAUGAAUCGGGCACGCCAGUGUUCGUGGAGCCGCUGUUGAAAUACGACCCUUCGUUUGUUUGAGUUCUAACUUCGAAUUGAAGGACAUUGCUUGGUGGGUAGUUUGACUGGGGUGGUCGCCUCCAAAAGCGUAACGGAGGCUUCUAAAGGUACCCUCAGGCCGAUCGGUAACCGGCCCAAGAGUG
rnacentral:rRNA from 1 species